GAUGAACGCUGGCGGCGUGCCUAAUACAUGCAAGUCGAGCGAACGGACGAGAAGCUUGCUUCUCUGAUGUUAGCGGCGACGGGUGAGUAACACGUGGAUAACCUACCUAUAAGACUGGGAUAACUUCGGGAAACCGGAGCUAAUACCGGAUGAUAUUUUGAACCGCCUGGUUCAAAAGUGAAAGACGGUCUUGCUGUCACUUAUAGAUGGAUCCGCGCUGCAUUAGCUAGUUGGUAAGGUAACGGCUUACCAAGGCAACGAUGCAUAGCCGACCUGAGAGGGUGAUCGGCCACACUGGAACUGAGACACGGUCCAGACUCCUACGGGAGGCAGCAGUAGGGAAUCUUCCGCAAUGGGCGAAAGCCUGACGGAGCAACGCCGCGUGAGUGAUGAAGGUCUUCGGAUCGUAAAACUCUGUUAUUAGGGAAGAACAUAUGUGUAAGUAACUGUGCACAUCUUGACGGUACCUAAUCAGAAAGCCACGGCUAACUACGUG
rnacentral:rRNA from 1 species